rnacentral:rRNA from 1 species
GAUGAACGCUGACAGAAUGCUUAACACAUGCAAGUCAACUUGAAUUUGGGUUUUUAACUUAGGUUUGGGUGGCGGACGGGUGAGUAACGCGUAAAGAACUUGCCUCACAGCUAGGGACAACAUUUGGAAACGAAUGCUAAUACCUAAUAUUAUGAUAAUAGGGCAUCCUAUAAUUAUGAAAGCUAUAAGCGCUGUGAGAGAGCUUUGCGUCCCAUUAGCUAGUUGGAGAGGUAACGGCUCACCAAGGCGAUGAUGGGUAGCCGGCCUGAGAGGGUGAUCGGCCACAAGGGGACUGAGACACGGCCCUUACUCCUACGGGAGGCAGCAGUGGGGAAUAUUGGACAAUGGACCGAGAGUCUGAUCCAGCAAUUCUGUGUGCACGAUGAGGUUUUUCGGAAUGUAAAGUGCUUUCAGUUGGGAAGAAACAAAUGACGGUACCAACAGAAGAAGUGACGGCUAAAUACGUG